UUAAAUUAUCUAUAAUUCCAAAUAUUUGUCUGAAAUCGCAAACCUGAGGGGACCUAGGUUCUUUAUCAAUGCUCAAACCUUCUCUAUACGGGAAAAGGCCCAGCUGUGGGAAGAAUAGGGCUCAUAUUAUUAUAAUUAUGUUUCAACUUUAGUUUUUUAACCUUGAAAAAUAAAUAUGACUACAAAUAUCCGAAAUCAUUGAAGUGCCAAAGUUUUCAAACUUGUUUUAUCUAACGCCCACUCUGAAAAUAUUUCUAUAAAUCAAUUAUUUUGUCAAACGUUUUUUUUAAACUUGCUUGCUAUCCUCCGACAGAUUAUAGGAUGUUUUUAGUUUUACUACGUUUUUUGUGUUUUUUCUUCGGUACAAUGCAAGCUUAAAACAUUAAAGCAAGCUCAUCAGAUUUCCUUCCCCGAAAACCUAGCUAAUCUGAGGUGGGUGAAUCACACAAACAUCCUACGACCAGCUAUGACUACAAAUCCAUAAGGCCUAUUCCCUAAUCUUAGCAAAAAACCCUGAAUCGACGAACUCCUCCCUUCUCACGCUGGUGACGUACAUGGUUUUCCUUAUUUUAGACGUAUAUAAGUCAGUAAUGACAAUUGAAUAUUAACACUUGACAAUCAUUCUUGUUGGAAGAAAGUAACCAUAACACCACUCCACCAUGAAACUGUUGAACUUGUUGGUAGUCGUGAUGGCUGUCCUGGCGCUCUUCAUGGGAGGAGCCAGCGCUCAUCCUAAGGGCAUCGGGAAAGCGAUCAAGAAGGGAGGGAAAUUUAUUAAACACGGCCUGAGCGUUAUCGGUGUGGUUGGAACCGGACACGAGAUAUACCAACAGUCAAAACAAUAGAAAUAAUGUCAUCUACUAUUUAUUAUUUUAUACAUAUCAGUAUUAUAAUUAAAUAAAUAAUUAUUCUGAA